UGUAACUCGGUGAACGCUUUAAAAUCACAGUCACGACAACAAAUGACAGCGAUUUUUCGUUUUUGCGAUCAUGUAACACACAUCUCCCACCGAAAUGACGUCAUCUUGGAUCGUUCUCUGUCACGGUCACUUGUAGGGAUUUAUCCAAGUUAUAACGCAGUUUUUACGUAUCGAUAGUCAGUUUAAGCGAUUAUGUAAGCCUAGUGAUCAUACAACUGGGUGACACAGAAGUUGUCAAAGUCAAUCGCUAUAGAAACUAAUACCGAGCAGUGUUUUAAUAAAGUUUACUUGACGCCUGUGAUUCAAUAAUUACAAAUAAAAGUACUUUUAGGAUUUUUUUGAAUUUUGUACUAUACCUUGUAAGUAAGGUAUUAGUUUGUAAGUCAAUAAAAUCAGAAUUAGAAAAGUUUUUCAUGUAAAAUAUGACGAAAGUUGAGAAUAUAUAGUAGUGUUUACCGACAUUGCCAUGUACAAUACAAUGCAUGUAGCAUUUGUAUUGUACGCGGAAACGGAACGAAAAAGAUGUCUUUGUCGAGUUCAUUGCAAAACUUUCGUGUCGCGAUACCAGCAGGUUUUAGAAGAAAUACAAAGUCUUUGAACAACUGCUGUUCGCAAUGAAUUAGAGAUAAGUCUUGGCAGCUUUAAACUUUUAUGCCAAUGGAUCAUACAAAUGGCUUUGUGAUGGCUAAGGCAUCUUUUAGCAAAUGCCUACAUGAAGUCGCUGACGCUCCUGAAUACCCCAGCUGUUUAAAAAAAAUGUGUUAAGUUCCCUUUGCAUUAAACACAAAAUCAUUAUAAAUAAAUAUGUGAUGCCAAUCUAAUAAUAACAUAGUGGAUGCUCAAUUUGGUGGUGCAUCUUAUGACUUGUACAUAUGGAACCAGUGCAAUAAGACCACUUGAGGAAAACCUGCCCAAUAGGGACCGCUGUUGGUUGUUAGGUGACCAAUGUUUGCAUGAUGACCCCCAUCUUGGGAGCUGCUCCUAGAUCCCAUGAAGAUAUGGAGACAACAUUGCUGUGUCAGAAAUACGGUGGAGCCUUGUAGUUGGGUGCAUAUUGUAAAAUGUUUCCUCACUCCAAAACCAUGAACUCUGGUUUCCUAAACCCUCAAGCUAUGCAGCCGAAGGAGGAGACUUAUCACAGGAGAAUCACUAAUAAUUUUGAAGAAGUGAAGAGCUUAACAAUGUUUCAACCAACACCUAAAGAAGCUUUCACUUGGCUGUUAGAUCAAGGGCUGGAUACAGAAAACAGUAAUCCUUGUGAUGGCAGUAUUGUCCAAGGAUUCCUCACCAUGAUACCAAGUUGCUAGAACCCUCAAGCUAUGCAGACAAAGGACUGGAUAUAUUUUUUCGUGACCAAGCCUUCUGUAUAAUUAUUUAUACUUAAACCAUACAAAGCACUAUCUAGCCCCAAAGUAGGCAUACAGAGUAGCUUGUGUUGUGGGUACUAAGAUAGUUGAUAUUAUAAUAUUCAUUUACAUUUAUAUACUACCUAUAAAUACUUAUAUAAUGUAUAAAUACACACACACUGGAAAAAACCCAUGCUCUUCACACAAAUAUUUUCCAGGUGUGGGAAUCGAACCCAUGACCGUGGAUGCAGGAGCACUACUUACUGCGCCACGCGUAUGAGUUUUUAUUUUGAAGCAAAUUAUUAAAGUUGAUAAUUCAAAUUGUAGUCAUGUUUUUAAUUAAUCUAUAAUUAAUUUUUAAUUUACAUUUUUGUUAAAUAUUUACCUAUACUUCAGUCUAUUUUUGUUAGAGGGGGUACCUAUAUGUGUAAGUAGGGUCGUUUCUUGAUUAAAUUAAACUAAAGAAUGAAAGAUAUAUAUUAUAACAAAAUUUGUCAACAACAAUAUAUCAAGUCUGAAUAAAAAAUACACAAGUAAA